UACGGAGGAUCCGAGCGUUAUCCGGAUUUAUUGGGUUUAAAGGGUGCGUAGGCGGCCUGUUAAGUCAGGGGUGAAAGACGGUAGCUCAACUAUCGCAGUGCCCUUGAUACUGAUGGGCUUGAAUGGACUAGAGGCAGGCGGAAUGAGACAAGUAGCGGUGAAAUGCAUAGAUAUGUCUCAGAACACCGAUUGCGAAGGCAGCUUGCUAUGGUUCUAUUGACGCUGAGGCACGAAAGCGUGGGGAUCGAACAGG
rnacentral:rRNA from 1 species